AUGUCAGAGGGAGGAGAGAGACUCCAGACUCAGUCAGUGUGUGUUGGUGUGUAGAUGUGAGUGCACGGUGAAGAAUUCAGCCCUGGAGGACUUUUCUGUACGAGUAAAACUACUUAUUAUUUUUGUGGAUAAAGCCAAUAACGAGGACAAGACGAGGAGGACACAUGCGAAAAUGCGAGAAGAAAUCCAGGAAGAGAGUGUCUGCUUAUUAAAAAUUCAGCGCGGGAGAACAGACAUUAUCGCCCGUUCGGAUGACUUGUGGCAGCACUGAGGAUAAACUACAACACUAACGGGCUUCAAACAUUAUUGAAUGGGCUGAAACGAAGCGGAAUUUUCUCUAAAGAGCGAGUCCAAAGCAUUUCCAAGCGGCCAAAAACCAAAAGGAAGGGGAGGAGAGGGGGCAAAGAAAACGCCCUGCUGCCUGUUGCUUGUAUCUCCACAUUCAAACUUUAUCGCCGAGUUGGAAAAAUGCAUCUUUCACUUAACGGGAGGUGAUAAUUCAAGUGUAACGUUAUCUUUUAUUAGCUGAAAGCCAAACUGCUAGCUAACUGAAGGCCCGCUCACUCGGCAAGUUUUGGGACGCGGGGAGCCUCUGCUCUGGGAAUAUUUUCUCUUCAUUGUGCACACUAUUCCUGUUGGAGGCGAUUUGGGUGGGCUGAGAGCCCAAGGCUGCUCCGCUAGGCCCACGGCCAUUAGCUAGGAACAAAGAGGUUUCACAUGUAAACUCAAAACAGUUUGGAAAAGCUCUUCAUAUUUUACUCAACUUUUUAACGACCCGACGCUGCAGCCAUGUCGCUCGGCGCAGAGAGGAGGAUGGAAACCCGGCUGAAGAAGCUGGAGGACAUGAUCAGAGAGCCCAGAUCUGCCAUAAACCUGGAAAGUUUGCUGGACUCCAUAAACGCCCUGGUCUUAGACUUGGACUACCCUGCACUACGCAAGAACAAAAACAUCGAAACCUUCUUAAACAGAUACGAGAAAGUCAUAGGACAGACUCGAGACCUCCAGAUGAAGUCCGAAGACUUUGACAGAGUUAAAGUCAUCGGUCGAGGGGCAUUUGGUGAAGUCCAACUUGUCCGACAUAAAGCCUCUCAAAAGGUCUACGCCAUGAAGCUGCUGAGCAAGUUUGAGAUGAUAAAACGCUCAGACUCGGCUUUCUUCUGGGAAGAGAGGGACAUCAUGGCUUUUGCCAACAGUCCAUGGGUUGUACAGUUGUGCUGUGCCUUCCAAGAUGAGCACUUCCUCUACAUGGUGAUGGAGUACAUGCCGGGAGGUGACCUUGUCAACCUCACCAGCACCUACGACGUGCCGGAGAAAUGGGCCAAGUUCUACACAGCCGAGGUGGUGAUGGCCCUGGACGCCAUUCACUCCAUGGGCUUUAUCCAUCGAGACGUGAAGCCGGACAACAUGCUGCUGGACAGACUCGGACACCUGAAACUGGCUGACUUCGGCACGUGCAUGAAGAUGAACGCUACCGGCAUGGUGCACUGUGAUACAGCUGUCGGGACUCCAGACUACAUCUCUCCUGAGGUGCUGAAAUCCCAGGGAGGAGAUGGUUAUUAUGGGAGAGAGUGUGACUGGUGGUCCGUAGGGGUCUUCAUCUUUGAGAUGCUUGUUGGUGACACACCGUUCUACGCCGACUCUCUGGUGGGCACCUACAGUAAGAUCAUGGACCACAAAAACUCCCUCAACUUCCCUGAUGACGUGGAGAUCUCCAAAGAUGCCAAAAAUAUCAUCUGUGCCUUCUUGACUGACAGGGAGGUGCGAUUGGGCAGAAAUGGCGUGGACGAAAUCAUGCGACACCCUUUCUUCAAGAACGACCAGUGGACCUUCGACACCAUCAGAGACACGGUUGCCCCUGUGGUCCCAGAGCUGAGCAGUGACAUAGACACCAGUAAUUUCGACGAGAUUGAAGAUGACAAAGGCGACGUCGAGACGUUCCCCACACCUAAGGCCUUUGUUGGAAACCAGUUACCCUUUGUUGGCUUCACGUACUUCAAAGAAGACCAAUUACUAAAUGCUUCCAACAAUAUCUCGGUGACUCAUGAUAAUUCGAAAGAAGAGUUGGAAGCACUGCAGAAGAAGCUGCGCCUCCUGGAGGGGCAGCUGAAUGAUGAGAAGCAGGUCAAAGUUGAUCUGGAGCACAAACACAGAGCUGCCACCAGCCGUCUAGACAAAAUCUCCAAAGAACUCGAGGAAGAGGUGAGCAGCAGAAAGAAUCUGGAGUCCAGUCUGAGGCAGUUGGAGAGAGAGAAAGCCCUGCUGCAGCACAAGACCCUGGAGAGCCACCGCAAGGCCGAGAGCGAGGCCGACAGGAAGCGCUGCCUGGAGAACGAAGUCAACAGCCUUCGAGACCAGCUGGAUGACAUGAAGAGGAGAAACCAGAAUUCACACAUUUCCAAUGAGAAGAACAUUCACCUGCAGAAACAGCUUGAAGAAGCCAACACGUUGUUACGGGCCGAGUCCGAGGCGGCGACGAGGCUCCGUAAAACCCAGACGGAGAGCAGCAAGCAGCUGCAGCAGCUGGAGGCCAACGUGCGCGAGCUGCAGGACAAAAGCUGCCUGCUGGAGCGCAGCAAGCUGAGCCUGGAGAAGGAAUGCAUCAGCCUGCAGGCCGCACUGGAGACGGAGAGGAGGGAGCACAGCCAGGGCUCAGAGACCAUCAGCGACCUGAUGGGACGCAUCUCCUGCCUGGAGGAGGAGGCCCGUCAGCAGAGACAGAAUCUGUCCAAAACUGAGACUGAGAAGAGGCAGCUUCAGGAAAAACACACCGAUCUGGAGAAGGAGAAGAGCAACAAGGAGAUUGAUCUGACCUACAAGCUGAAGGUGCUGCAGCAAGAGCUGGAGCAGGAGGAGGCCUCUCAUAAAGCCACCAGGGCGAUGCUGGCAGACAAGAGCAAGAUCAAAGUGACCAUCGAGGGCGCCAAGUCAGAGUCCAUGAAGGAGAUGGAGCAGAAGCUGGCGGAGGAGCGAGCGGCCAAACUUCGUCUGGAGAACCGAAUACUGGAUCUGGAGAAGCACAGCAGCAUGAUGGACUGCGACUACAAACAGGCUCUGCAGAAACUAGACGAGCUGCGCAGACACAAGGACCGACUGACUGAGGAGGUGAAGAACUUGACGCUGAAGAUCGAGCAGGAGACCCAGAAGCGUAACCUGACUCAAAACGACCUGAAGGCCCAGAACCAGCAGCUCAAUACUCUGCGAACCUCCGAGAAGCAACUCAAACAGGAAACAAAUCAUCUGCUGGACAUUAAACGCAGCCUGGAGAAACAGAACCAAGAGCUGCGCAAAGAAAGACAGGACACAGACGGGCAAAUGAAGGAAUUACAGGACCAGUUAGAAGCUGAGCAGUAUUUCUCUACGCUGUAUAAGACCCAGGUCCGUGAACUAAAGGAGGAGUGUGAGGAGAGGAACAAACUCUACAAAGAUGUGCAGCAGUCUCUGCAGGAGCUACAGGAAGAGAGGGAUUCAUUGGCUGCUCAGCUGGAGAUCACACUGACAAAGGCUGACUCCGAGCAGCUGGCGCGCUCCAUCGCUGAGGAGCAGUACUCCGACCUGGAGAAGGAGAAGAUAAUGAAGGAGCUGGAGCUGAAGGAGAUGAUGGCCCGCCAUCGUCAGGAGCUGUCUGAGAAGGACAUCACCAUCAAUUCGCUGGAGGAAGCCAAUAGGACUCUGACCAGUGAUGUCGCCAACCUAGCCAAUGAGAAGGAAGAGCUGAACAACAAACUGAGGGAGGCAAUAGAAGAAUCGGAGAAGUCAAAGGAUUGGGAGCAGCAGAUCAGCCAGAUGAAGCAGGCAUUUGAGAAGCAGCUGCAGUCGGAGAGGACGCUGAAAACUCAGGCCGUCAAUAAGCUGGCAGAGAUCAUGAACAGGAAGGAGGUUCGUGGCGGAGGCAGUCGCCGCGGUAACGACACAGACAUGCGGCGGAAGGAGAAAGAGAACAGGAAGCUGCAGUUGGAGCUGAGGUCGGAGAAGGAAAAACUCAACAGCAGCAUCAUCAAAUACCAGAGGGAGAUCAACGAAAUGCAGGCGCAACUGUCUGAUGAGAGCCAGAUGCGUAUCGAGCUGCAGAUGGCCCUGGACAGUAAGGACAGCGACAUCGAGCAGCUGAGGAACCUCCUGCAGACGCUCAGUGUUCAAUCAAUGGACUCUGCCAGCGUCAGCAGCGGGCCAGACUUCGAUACUGAUGAUGCAUACACAGAAACAAGGCUGGAGGGCUGGCUCUCUCUCCCAGUGAGAAACAACACCAAGAAGUUUGGAUGGGAGAAAAAGUAUGUUAUAGUGAGCAGCAAGAAGAUUCUCUUCUACAACAACGAGCAGGACAAAGAGCAAUCUAUUCCCUACAUGGUGCUCGAUAUAGACAAACUCUUCCAUGUGAGGCCCGUCACUCAAACAGACGUGUACCGCGCUGACGCCAAAGAGAUUCCCAGGAUAUUCCAGAUUCUUUAUGCCAAUGAAGGCGAGAGCAAAAAGGAGGCAGAGGAUCCGCUGCCCAUCGGAGAGAAGUCCAGCUACAUCUGCCACAAGGGCCACGAGUUCAUCCCCACGCUCUACCACUUCCCCGCAAACUGUGAGGCGUGCACCAAGCCGCUGUGGAACAUGUUCAAGCCGCCGCCUGCUCUGGAGUGCCGGCGCUGCCACAUCAAGUGCCACAAAGACCACAUGGACAAGAAGGAGGAGAUCAUUGCUCCAUGCAAAGUGAACUACGACGUGUCCUCAGCCAAGAACCUGCUGCUGCUGGCCUUGACCCAGGAGGAGCAGCAGAAGUGGGUGAGCCGACUGGUCAAGAAGAUCCCCAAGAAGCCUCCACCACCAGAGCACUUUGCACGCUCCUCGCCACGCGCUUCCAUGAAGGUCCAGCCCAGCCAGUCCAUGAGGAGACCCAGUCGACAGAUCCCCACCAGCAAGAGCAGCCCUCGCAGGUCAAAUGGCUUCACAGUGAGGCGAGACGACUCCCACGGUGGACAGUGACGACUUCUCCCUUUACCUUUGCCUGAGACACUUCCCUGUAAAUGACUCAAUAGCCCGAUGUAUCUGUGAUAUUGCCUCAUCGCAGAUUUCUAGUUAACCUCACUUGAGUGCGGCUCAUCGUCGAGGUGGUGGGGUGCGUGUCCUAAAUCAAAGACUUCACAAAGCUCCGUUUGCAGAUCGGCACACUGAACUUCACACGUCACUUCUCCACAUCCCUCCCUGCCGAGCUUCAGCCUGUGAGAGUCUGUUUUUCACAUUUCUUUCAGUUGAACUUCUUUCCCGGGCAUUUCCAGCGGGUAACGACGAUCAAACUCACCUGAACACCUGUGAUCUUUACACCGAGCUGGAUGGCUUGGAAGCAUAUUAGCCAAAGUCUUCUCCCGGGCUCUUGAAUAGAGAAAUGAAGUGUCUCUGGGAGCUGGAGUGGCUCGUUCAGCUCCCACAGAACACAAGAGAGCUCUUAUGAGCCCGCUCACGGCUGGCAACAAGGGGACACACUUACCUCAACACUUCUCACCAGGACACACUGUCUGACUGAAGGACAGAAAACUCUCCUCACCGCCUCGGGGGAUUCUUGUGGCCAAAUAAAAACAUUUUUGUGUUUAAUGAACAAUAUGAAGGGUUUAAUGGGGGAACACUACACUCAGAUGUUGUUGGCUGAAUACAGCUAAGAUUGUUGAACUUGAUCCCAGUUACAGUAUCUGUACUUAUUCAAACUAUUUUAUUGAUUGUAGCUUCUCGCUUCCCACGAUUCUGCUUUCAGGCGCACGUCCACACGGGUCACAGAAACUUGAAUAAGGUACUUAAUCAAACCAGCUGUGACUUCUAGAAAAGGUCUGCAAGGCGAAGGAGGAGUGUCAGAUUCCUCCCAGGAUUUGAGCAAAUAAUUCCUUGAGUGCCUCUUAUUCAGAUUUCUGACCUGGGCACGCUCUGAAUCACCACUUUGUUGUUGUGACCACAGGAGCAGGGUCCUGCUCUGAAUGGCAUUAGAUGGAGGCCCAGGCAUGAGAUCCUCACAGUCCCAUAAUCUGUCAAACCUGCACUGUCAGUUAUGAGGGUUAAUGUUUACUGAAUUCAAGGGGUGCACCGUUAACGCUUUUCUGAUCCGAGCUCGGCUCCUUUUUGUUGUUUGAAUGUACAUCUGGGCUUUACCAGAGACGACACGCAGGCAUUGUAUUACUUCUAUCCAAAUAUACUUGACUGAAGCCCCUUUCAUCACCAACUACUCUGAGUGAACCUGCAUGCGUUUGCCUUUUCAGGCACUUAAUUGCUGUCACCCACAGGCCUCCACCUUUUUUUCUUUUUGUCAUUCCUGGCAAUGAACAUGAGGGGAAAUUACCAACAAGAAGCAGAAACAAUGAAGGUAUGCAAUCAUAUCCCAUGAGUCAAAAUACUGAGCAGCACUAUUCCAUUGAAAGUUUUUCUAAAAGUGUUUGUCCUGAUAUUUUUGUAUUAAAAGUAACCAAACUCUGAGUUUGGGCACAUUGUUGUGUAUGUGGCUUAUAUAGCAGAUGGAGAGUAACUAUUUGUGUGUGUGAGUGUGUGUGUGCCGAGUACUCUCCUUUAACCAAGAAGCAUGUUUUAUACAUAUAAAUAUACACAGUCUAUAUUUUACAUGCCUUACAGUGCACAUUAUAUUAUUUAUACAGCCUUGUCCACUUUGUAUUUAAGGGCUCUACAUCCAGAUUGCAUGUUUGCUACCAAACUGCUCUAUAAUAAUAACUACUUCAACAAUAAAGACAUGGAUGUGCCUUU